rnacentral:tRNA from 1 species
CGCGGGGUGGAGCAGCCUGGUAGCUCGUCGGGCUCAUAACCCGAAGGUCGUCGGUUCGAAUCCGGCCCCCG